AUGGAGUAUGUACUCUGUGUACGAACGCAGGGGUUUUCUAACCCCUGUGGAUGUGGGUCAGAAAACACGGUUUCCAGAAGAAUGGGAGGGAAAACCCAGGAGUUACUGGAACGCAGCAGUUCUCCCUAUGACAUCUCCUUUUGCCUCCAAAAUCGUCACCCAUGGACAAGACACAAGCAAUUUUCAACCGAUGAUCAAUGCUCUUACCAAACGGCUGUUUCCCAGCAGACUCCACCCCACCAGGGCUCUGAAGGCAUCCUCCUACCUAUAAAUGUCAUUCUUCCUUCCCUCUCUUUCCUCCUGUGCCAUCAGAAUUGUUGUCUGCAAACUUGUUUCUAGACCCUCUGGUGAAGUUGAGAGAAACUGAGGCAAAAUCCCCUAUAAUCUAACUUUUUCAAGGAUCCCUUAAAAAGUGAGGGGCAGAAACAAGAAGACUUUUGGGAUUAAGGUAUUUCUUUCCCAACUGGCAUUCUGAAGUUUGUGAAUUGUUUAGUAUAUUCAAAGCUAUCAGAAAAGGCAUUCAGAAAGAGGGACUCUGGUUUCGUGUUUCUGGAAAUUGAUCUGAGAAGUGUGAAUGGGGUGAUAUAUGGGAGAGGAUACUCAGUGUUAGGACUACCAAUGUUAGAAGUGACAGAGUGACAGAAAGGCAGAGUCCAGUUCAAUUUGAGAAAGAACUUCGUGCUGUCAGAGCAGUCUAAUAAUGGAAUGCAGAGCUCAAACAUGCUAAUGGCCACUUGAGGGAUUGUUAGACAGCAGUGAAGCUUCUGAAGGAGGAAUUAACUAAGUGACCUUUAUGGUCUCUUGCAACCCCGAGGAGGCUAUGAUUUCACUAAGCAUUCCAGAAAAUUGUAAUAUACUCAAGUUGAAUGUGAUAUACUUGAAACUUCAUAUGCCAAACAAUAUAGUAUUAACAUGUUAAGAAACUGACAGGAACAAUAGUAGUAGGAAACUUUACCACAUUUCUUUUUCUAUAAAAUGAGAACAUAACCAUAAUUGAGAAAAUUCCUAUAAAUUCUUAAAGGUUGAAAUAAAACAGACUAUAUCUUCUGUCCACAAUGUAAUAAACCCAGACAUAAAUAAGAAAAACUAAACAGUAGUGGAUACUUUCUUGUGUGUCCAAUCUGUUCACAAUAACAAAUCCCUAUCCCUUCUCUUCCAUAACUCCUUCUCCCACAUUUUGGUUUUCAGCAACAACUUAGUACAAUAUGAUCCCACUUCCCUGGCCUUGACUGAUUGACUUAAGAUUGGACACCUGAUUCAGAUGGGCCAGACUUCCUUCCGUGAAAAUCUGGAAUUGAGGCAGAGAUAGGAAUAUCGUCUCUCAGGUGGCUGGACCUACAACAUACAAAUUUGAGAAUUAUCAGUGAUUGUGAUCUGCCAUGUGAAUUCGAGAAAGAAGAAAUUGGUUGGCAAAAAACAAAACAAAACAGAACCCAAAACCACUAUAGAAAUAAUGAAAUAGGCCAGGCAUGGUGGCUCACAUCUGUAAUCCCACCCCUUUGAGAGUCUAAGGUGUGUGGAUCAGCUAGGUCAAGAGUUCAAGACCAGCCUGGCCAACAUGGUGAAACCCUGUCUCUACUAAAAAUAUAAAAAUUAGCUGGGCAUGGUGGCAGGCACUUGUAGUUCCAGCUACUCGGGAGGCUGAGGCAGGAGAAUCGCUUGAAUCUGGGAGGUGGCGGUUGUAGUGAGCCAAGUUCAUGCCACUGCACUAAAGCCUGGGUGACACAACUAGGCUCCAUCUCAAACAAACAAACAAAAAAACCCAGAAACAAUGAAACAGAUACAUAAGAGCGAGCAGAGAUCAGAGAGAAGCUCCCAGUGACUUACCAGUAGCUGAUUUAUGCCCUUUUAAGAGUCUCAAUGCAUUUUUGCUCUUGGAGCACACAAGGUCCUUAUAUCCUUAUAACAAUUCCCAUCUUUCACUUAAGUCAGUUGGGGUUAUUUUCCUUGCAAUCAG
ensembl:lncRNA